rnacentral:rRNA from 1 species
UACGAAGGGGGCUAGCGUUGUUCGGAAUCACUGGGCGUAAAGCGCACGCAGGCGGAUCGUUAAGUCGGGGGUGAAAUCCCGAGGCUCAACCUCGGAACUGCCUUCGAUACUGGCGAUCUUUGAGUCCAGGAGAGGUGAGUGGAACUCCGAGUGUAGAGGUGAAAUUCGUAGAUAUUCGGAAGAACACCAGUGGCGAAGGCGGCUCACUGGCCCGGUACUGACGCUCAGGUGCGAAAGCGUGGGGAGCAAACAGG